GGAGAGUGGCUCCUGGAAUGGUGGCUGAGAGCUAAAAACUGCAGCAGUCUUGCAGCAGACCUUGGAGCCUUGUAUUUCUCCAGCACCUGCAGAACAGCAUCAAAGAGAAAGGCAGAAAAACGAGGAAAGAAAAAAAAAAAACCUGAAAGAAUAUUAAACAGGAUUGUUAGGACUUGCCUGGGGCUUGGGGAACGCGAAAUAUCUUCCAGAAUGGAUCACUGUGAUAAUGAAACUUUAGAACCCGAUUAAAGUUCACAGCAGUGGGGAGAAGCAGCUCCAUCAGCUCACAGCUGUGGCUGAGCAUGGGAGGAAGGAGAGCUCUGCCUUAAAAUCCACCCAGGGAGAACACAAUUUCGGAACAUCUGGCACACUGGAGGAAUUUAAAGGGUCAGCUAGAGUGGGUUCUGUGAUCCCAUGGUUCUGUGGUUAUUCUGAUUCUCUGAUACCAGAAAGUGAUGAUGUAGAGGGAGAGGAGGAACUCAGACACAGGCGUGAAUGGAGACACUAUGACUUCUCCAGUGGAAACAUUGAUACUUCAUCUUGUCAUGAGCUCAGAAGACCUGGUUCUAUAUUUUGCCUCAGGUUUAUGCCACUGAAACUCUGCCACUGCCCAUUUGGCAUUAUCCUGAAUUUGCCUGUGUGUCCAAGCUAACCCAACAUGCGGCUGUUUACAUGGCAGUUUUGGGGAAUAUGUUCAUUAGAUUUAGUGAGAGUUAACAAUUUACUUCCAGUGAAUUGUGCCAACAGUUGGGUGUGGAGUUCCUCUUUAAGUGUCCUGCAUUUUCCUAAUUGCUUAUCAACUGAAGUAAUUUUAGCUUGCGGUUUUAUUUCACAGAGGUGAUUCACUUUGCACAUUUUUCUCAAAGAAUGGUCUCAUGGGUUAAACAAAGACUUUGUAGUCAAAUUUCCUUCUUUUUUAUGCCAUCUUAAUUUUCUCCAGGA